rnacentral:lncRNA from 1 species
GGCCAAGAAGUAUAUAUAUACAUGUACAUGUAGAUGUAUUAUGUUUAUGGUUGCUCCGUUUUUUUUGGUACAAUUAUAUACUCUUAGACAUAUACGUUUCGGCAUAAUACUGAGACAAUACAUUGAAUACAAUGUUCAAUCUUCAAAUUUUGAGAUGAAAAUACACAUGAUAUAUACAUGUUAUCAAAGAUGGAAUUCUGUAAAAACUAGAUCUUUCAAUUUGCUCCAUUUUUUUUUCAACAUUGUAUCAGACAUCCCGUUAUCAUGGUCAUACAAUGUACAUUUGUAAAAUAUAUACACAUGUGCAAUUUGAGUAACUUUUUACUAUCCAAUCAAAUAUUUAAUAUAUAUAUUAUAGAGAAGGGGGGAAGGGGUUCUGAUCCCAAAAUCCCGGGUUUAAAAACACGAAAUCCUGAGGCCCAGAUUUUUAAAGAAAUUUUAAAUCACGACAUCCCAAAAAAGGUCCUGCCCCCUCUAUAAAUAAUAAGUUGAUAAAGAAUUUGCAUAAAAGGUCUAAACAAUAACCACUGUCAGAUGUCUAACAGCUCUGACAUACCAGAAACCAAAAAAAAAUCUGACAGAGAAAGAAAUAUAUCUGAUUUAAAUAAGACUGGUCAAAACAGGUUGAUAAAGAAUUAUCAAUCAAAAUGCUAAUAAAAGAAGGGGGAACAAUACCAGAGGGACAGUCAAACUCAUAGAUCGAAAAUAAAGUGACAAUGCCAUGGCUAAAAAGAAUAAUAAAAUAUGAGUUCAGUUUCUGAUAAAAAUGAAAUCUAUAUUGCAGAAAUUGUCCUUUCUCAAUAUUACAAAGCUGUAAUAAAAAAGCUUACUUUUCCAGUAUACUGUAUCUGGCAGAAAUUGUCCUAUCUCAAUAUGUAUAUUAUAAAGCUAUUAAGGUUCAUCAUAACAAACGGACAAAUAUGGCUGUAUUUACAUGCCAAAAAUUACUCUGAGUACAGACUUACCUGUAAAGUUGGAAAAGUUUUAAUGCCUAGCAUCCACUAGAUAUGAAAAAGUUAAAUCCAUUUUGUGUUUCAGAAAGAUAAAAUCUCUUUUGGAUUUUGAUGGGCAUUUUUUUUCCUUCAUGCAAAAGGUGUGAAAAUUGACUAAGUUGUGGAACAACUAUGAGAUGCUCCCUCAGGUAAAAAACCGGUUUGUAUUGUUUUCAUUGUCCUUAAUUGACCAUAGACACCAGGUAUCUUUACAUCUAUAGGUGAGUUAAAGAGUUUAUCUGAGUCAGUGAGUGGACAGUAUCAAAG